rnacentral:rRNA from 1 species
UGAGGAAUAUUGCGCAAUGGGCGAAAGCCUGACGCAGCGACGCCGCGUGGGGGAUGAAGGUCUUCGGAUUGUAAACCCCUUUCGGGUGGGAAGACGGCCCUAGACAACUAGGGCGGACGGUACCACCAGAGGCAGCCACGGCUAACUUCGUGCCAGCAGCCGCGGUAAUACGAAGGUGGCAAGCGUUGUUCGGAUUUACUGGGCGUAAAGGGAGCGUAGGUGGUUAGGUAAGCCCUCCGGGAAAUCUUCAGGCUUAACCUGAAAAGGUCGGGGGGGACUGCCUGGCUAGAGGACGGGAGAGGAGCGCGGAAUUCCCGGUGUAGCGGUGAAAUGCGUAGAGAUCGGGAGGAAGGCCGGUGGCGAAGGCGGCGCUCUGGAACGUUUCUGACACUGAGGCUCGAAAGCGUGGGGAGCAAACAGGAUUAGAUACCCUGGUAGUCCACGCCCUAAACGAUGGACACUAAGUGCCGGCGGGUUACCGUCGGUGCCGCAGCUAACGCAUUAAGUGUCCCGCCUGGGGAGUACGGCCGCAAGGUUGA